UUGAAUGGAUCGCAAGUUUUCAGCCCUGGGCCCUCGAAGACGCUUUUUGAAGCCGUCAUGUCUGCACGAAGGACAGGGACAGGGAGAGUGAGGAGUCCGUGGUGGAAGCGUGUGGAUGUGGGGAAGCGAGCGCAGGAGUUCGGAGCGGAAAACUUUCACAACUUCGGCGCCGCCUUUCGAAAUCGCGCCAGAAAGGUGGCCACAAAACAAACAGCAAAGAUGCGAUGCGGACGGCCGGCGCGCUUCCUCAUUUUGUCGCUCGCUUUGUCCCCCUCCCAUUUUCCCCCAAGCCAAGAGAUGCGUGAUCCGCACUUUUCAGCUUCUCUCGGAAGCAAAAAAUGGGGGGUUUGGAAACCUCCCCCCCCCAUGCCAAAACUAAGAUGCUGAGGAAAUCAAUGAUACAGCUUCUUGUUUCAUUUCUGCAAAUGUACGCUGGGUCGCCUGGAUUCAUAACACCGGCCUGUAAACGGACUGCAUACAGUAUGUACCAGUAUAUACUCUUAUGACUAAGCUGUUUUGUUGAAUGGAUCAUUAUUGUGCCAGUUUUUAACCUGUUCUCAUUAGUUGAUGUUUUGAUUGUUGCUCCCAUAAGCUGAUGCUCGUGUUUGAAUCAUGUAUCUGCGGUAUAAAUGAAGUCUGGGUUAUAUAAGCACAAUGCAGAGGUUGGGGGCCUGCUGUUCUUUGGGUGUUAAAUGAGGUUAAACCUCGUGUUGUCCUUGCUGCGUUUUUUUUUCAGUAAUAUAUCGGAUGUCUUGAGAAAUAGAGCGGCAGUGCAUUUUGUGCUUCGCUGACCCGCUGGAGGCCUGACAGAGACGUACUGCGGUACUCAAACAGUAAAUUAAUACAAGCUGCCUCCCUCCAUUUGGACCUGUACUGUACAUUUGCGUUUCCUCGUGGAUUAGCUGUGAGGCUCGGGCUCACACCGUACCCAUGAAGUUUGCCUGUGAAAGUCACCUGUGAAGGCUAGCUGUGAAAGUUGCCCAUGAAGGUCGCCUGGGAAAGUCACCUGUGAAGGCUACCCAUGAAAGUCGCCCAUGAAGAUCGCCUGUGAAAGUCACCUGUGAAGGCUACCCGUGAAAGUCGUCCAUGAAGGUCGCCUGUGAAAGUCACCUGUGAAGGCUACCUGUGAAAGUCACCCAUGAAGAUCACCAGUGAAAGUCGCCUAUGAAGAUCGCCUGUGAAAGUUGCCCAUGAAGAUCGCCUGUGAAAGUCACCUGUGAAGGCUACCCAUGAAAGUCGCCCAUGAAGAUCGCCUGUGAAAGUCACCUGUGAAGGCUACCCGUGAAAGUCGUCCAUGAAGGUCGCCUGUGAAAGUCACCUGUGAAGGCUACCUGUGAAAGUCACCCAUGAAGAUCGCCAGUGAAAGUCGCCUAUGAAGAUCGCCUGUGAAAGUUGCCCAUGAAGAUCGCCUGUGAAAGUCACCUGUGAAGGCUACCCAUGAAAGUCGCCCAUGAAGGUCGCCUGUGAAAGUCACCCGUGAAGGCUACCCGUGAAAGUCGCCCAUGAAGGUCGCCUGUGAAAGUCACCCGUGAAGGUCACCUGUAGCUUGGAUCAUGCUCCUCCUCCUCCUCUCUGUAACAAAGCCCGCCACUUCUUCUAUAAUGCCCCCCCUUCUCACACCAGAAACACCCAUCCUGCAUGAGGACAGGGGAUUGUGAAACUGGCCUCUUCUGUACCUGUCAGGCCAGAUCCACUUUAACCACCAGAUGUCCCCGUAAUACACGUUAAUAAGUCUGCAAAUAAGACAGCCACCUAAAUUUAUGCACCAGUACAACUACUGGCACCAAAGGCAGAUACUAUGUACUUCUUUGCCUGACUUCACUCUGUCUGCAUCUUGACUAUGGACUUUACUUCUCUGCAAAACCAAGGCAAUUCCCCCCCACCACUCCCAAUGACUCAUCCAAAUGUGAAUGUGAAUUAAUGUGAAUGUUGCAACUCUGAAUGAAUUUCAUUGUUAUUAUUACAUCCCUAAUUUCAGGGCAUUAAGUAUAGAUAGCCGGCAAAUGAUUGCAUGGGCUCCAUAGGAAACCUGUGUCACAAUACCUUAUCUCAUUUCCUUAAAGGGUUCAUAGCCGUAAAAAUACUGACGUAUCACUGGUGGCCCAUUGCAGUGCGACUUCCUGUGCUUUAAAUGGUGUCAUUUGCUGUAUUGUGACGAAUAUAUUAGCCGUUGUGAAGAACAUCUUAGCUGUCGUGAAGGACGCAUUAUCUAUCGUGAAGGACGCAUUAGCUGUCGUGAAGGACGCAUUAGCUGUCGUGAAGGACGCAUUAGCUGUCGUGAAAGACGCAUUAGCUAUCGUGAAAGACGCAUUAGCUAUCGUGAAGGACGCAUUAGCUGUCGUGAAGGACGCAUUAGCUGUCGUGAAAGACGCAUUAGCUGUCGUGAAGGACGCAUUAACUGUCGUGAAGGACGCAUUAGCUAUCGUGAAGGACGCAUUAGCUGUCGUGAAGGACGCAUUAGCUGUUGUGAAGGACGCAUUAGCUAUCGUGAAGGAUGCAUUAGCUAUCGUGCAGCUAAAUGUUCUAUGAAUGCAUUAUGGGUGCAUUAUUAAGGUGCACUGAAUGUUCUAUGAAUGCACUAUGGGUGCAUUAUUAAGGUGCACUGAAUGUUCUAUGAAUGCAUUAUCAAGGUGCAGUUAAUGUAAACGUUACUGAUAUUUCUUAUGUACAGCUGUGCAGCUUAUGCAUCAGUAUUGUGAUCUUGCACCCCAUGUUUCAGGCAGCACCUGGUGAGGGUUAAAAGCUCCACAAACUCUGGGCAGCAGGAAGCACUUGGCUGCAGGACUCUGGUACCUGGUGACCACAAAGGACAUUGUGGCUCCUUGGACCCUGGGGUACAGGAAGGAGUCGGUCGUGCUCUUGAUUUCGGACGCACCUUGGACCUCGCAGUCAUAAACACACAACAUACACACUCUGAGAUGAAUCCAAGCCCGGACAAAAUAACAGGAAGAGCUGCUGUGUGCUGCAGAGUGAGAUAGAGAUCAUAGCCCAUUGUGCGUGUGUGUGCUGUGUGUGGGUGUGUGUGUGUGUGUGUGUGUGUGUGUGUGCAUGUGAGAAAAUGGAGGACGCACAUACAGAGGGUAUUCAGAGAGAGCAGGGAACACACAACUGUAAAACCCAACCUUGGUGAUCACGGGUGCGAAUUGAUAGCAUUGUUGUGAAUUAAGGAUGGAUCCUCCAAUCAGUCGGCUGCGUUUUCGUCCAAACAUAUCCCAGUUUCACUUCCUGUCCUCCACAGGAAGAUGCCGAAACCACGUUGGCGGCAGGAGGCAGUAAUAACGCCGGAAGGAUAUGGGAGAGACCUGAGGGGUACCUUCUCAGCCCGGUGCUGAAUGUGGAGGGAGCGUGAUGUUUAGAUUAAGCACUGGUGUGCGAGGUUGAUGGUGACUCUGCCCUGCCUGGUGACCUCUGCGCUGAAUCCGACACCCUUGUACACAAUGUGGCGAUUCCACAUCUGGCCCUGCAGCCCGCAUCCAUGCCUGAGGUAUUAUUACAGAAACGUGAAAUGAGUGUCUUUACCCCAAGAGGCUUUAAUAGUGUCAAAAGGUGAUUUCUGUCUCACCUAUAAAGUAGGAACAUGGGCGAUGUCUGGCUCUGCAGCGUAGAACAUUGGUUGGAAGGUUGUUAGAUUGAAUCCCGGUGGGGAGUGAUUUCACUGUUGGGCCUUUGAACCAAGACCUUAACCCUAAUUCCUCUAGAGAUACUGUCUGACCCUGUUUCUUCAAAAAUAUUAUGUUACUUUGGAUAAAAGUGUUCACACUAAAUAAAUAAAAUGAAAUUAAAACUCAACUGAACAGGUAAGGCUGCUAAGUCUCUGAAAUGUCUUUGGUCUUCAUUUAAUCAGCGCUGUUGUCCUCCGUAGAACCUGUUUAAGAAGAACAUCAAGCAGGCAUUUGCAUUCAGGCUUAAUCGUAUCGGUGGGAUCAUCUGUGUUUUCCAAGCCUCUCCGGGUGGCCGGUGAGGGUGAGUGGGCUCAGCGUCAGGCUCGAGCAGCAGCGAAGGCGACCUCGACGUGUCUGGGACGUGCAAUGUAGCAACCCAUGCAAAAA